GAACGAACGCUGGCGGCGCGCCUAAUACAUGCAAGUCGAGCGAGAAGACGUAGCAAUACGUUUGUAAAGCGGCGAACGGGUGAGGAAUACAUGGGUAACCUACCCUCGAGUGGGGAAUAACUAGCCGAAAGGUUAGCUAAUACCGCGUACGCUCCUUGGACUUCGGUUCAGGGAGGAAAGCGAUACCGUGGGUAUCGCGCUCUUGGAUGGGCUCAUGUCCUAUCAGCUUGUUGGUGAGGUAACGGCUCACCAAGGCUUCGACGGGUAGCUGGUCUGAGAGGACGAUCAGCCACACUGGCACUGCGACACGGGCCAGACUCCUACGGGAGGCAGCAGUAAGGAAUAUUGCGCAAUGGGCGAAAGCCUGACGCAGCGACGCCGCGUGGGGGAUGAAGGUCUUCGGAUUGUAAACCCCUUUCGGGAGGGAAGAUGGAACGAGCAAUCGUUCGGACGGUACCUCCAGAAGCAGCCACGGCUAACUUCGU
rnacentral:rRNA from 1 species